UACAAACACAAAGUGGAUUGGGAGGA
rnacentral:piRNA from 1 species